AGCGAACGCUGGCGGCAGGCUUAACACAUGCAAGUCGAGCGGACCUUUCGGGGUCAGCGGCGGACGGGUGAGUAACGCGUGGGAACGUGCCUUCCGGUUCGGAAUAACCCUGGGAAACUAGGGCUAAUACCGGAUACGCCCUUAUGGGGAAAGGUUUACUGCCGGAAGAUCGGCCCGCGUCUGAUUAGCUAGUUGGUGGGGUAACGGCCUACCAAGGCGACGAUCAGUAGCUGGUCUGAGAGGAUGAUCAGCCACACUGGGACUGAGACACGGCCCAGACUCCUACGGGAGGCAGCAGUGGGGAAUAUUGGACAAUGGGCGCAAGCCUGAUCCAGCCAUGCCGCGCGAGUGGUGAAGGCCUUAGGGUUGUAAAGCUCUUUUAUCCGGGACGAUAAUGACGGUACCGGAGGAAUAAGCCCCGGCUAACUUCGUG
rnacentral:rRNA from 1 species